rnacentral:rRNA from 2 species
AACGCUAGCUACAGGCUUAACACAUGCAAGUCGCGGGGCAUCACAGAGUGGCAACACUUGGGUGGCGACCGGCGCACGGGUGAGUAACACGUAUCCAACCUGUCCCAUACUCGGGGAUAGCCUUUCGAAAGAAAGAUUAAUACCCGAUGGCAUCUGUCUUUGGCAUCGAAGAUAGAUUAAAGAAAUUCGGUAUGGGGUGGGGAUGCGUUCCAUUAGCUUGUUGGCGGGGUAACGGCCCACCAAGGCGACGAUCGGUAGGGGUUCUGAGAGGGAGGUCCCCCACAUUGGAACUGAGACACGGUCCAAACUCCUACGGGAGGCAGCAGUGAGGAAUAUUGGUCAAUGGGCGAGAGCCUGAACCAGCCAAGUAGCGUGCAGGAUGACGGCCCUAUGGGUUGUAAACUGCUUUUAUAAGGGAAUAAAGUGAGCCUCGUGAGGCUUUUUGCAUGUACCUUAUGAAUAAGGACCGGCUAAUUCCGUGCCAGCAGCCGCGGUAAUACGGAAGGUCCGGGCGUUAUCCGGAUUUAUUGGGUUUAAAGGGAGCGUAGGCCGGAGAUUAAGCGUGUUGUGAAAUGUAGACGCUCAACGUCUGCACUGCAGCGCGAACUGGUUUCCUUGAGUACGCACAAAGUGGGCGGAAUUCGUGGUGUAGCGGUGAAAUGCUUAGAUAUCACGAAGAACUCCGAUUG